rnacentral:tRNA from 1 species
GCCGGAGUGGCGGAACAGGCAGACGCAAGGGACUUAAAAUCCCUCGACCAUAACAUGGUCGUACCGGUUCGAUUCCGGUCUCCGGCA